rnacentral:rRNA from 1 species
UCAAGUAAACAAGAGCACAAGGUGGAUGCCUAAGCACCAGAAGCCGAUGAAGGACGUGACAAGCUGCGAAAAGCUACGGGGAGGAGCAAAUAUCCAUUGAUCCGUAGAUAUCCGAAUGGGGGAACCCACUUAAGUAAACCUUAAGUACUGCAUACUGAAUCCAUAGGUAUGUAGGGGGAACGAGGCGAACUGAAACAUCUAAGUAGCUUCAGGAAGAGAAAGAAACAUCGAUUUCCUAAGUAGCGGCGAGCGAACGGGAAAGAGCCCAAACCAUGCAUGUAAGUGUAUGGGGUUAGGACUGCGAGGUGGCAAGACUAAGGAUAGAUGAAUUGUAUGGAAAGACAAACGAUAGGCGUGAGAGUCGCGUAAUCGAAAUCCGAAGGAAGCCUAGCAGUAUCCAGAGUAGCACGGGACACGAGAAAUCCCGUGUGAACGAGCGGAGACCACUCCGUAAGGCUAAAUACUAACUGGUGACUGAUAGAGUAAUAGUACUGUGAAGGAAAGGUGAAAAGGACCCCGGGAGGGGAGUGAAAGAGAACCUGAAACCUUGUGUUUACAUACUGUGGAAGCACGUUAAAGUGCGACUGCGUACUUUUUGUAGAACGGUCCGGCGAGUUACGCAUAUAGGUAGGUUAAGGGCUAAGAGGUCUGGAGCCGAAGUGAAAGCGAGCGUUAAAAGCGCGAAGAUCUAUAUGUGUAGACCCGAAACCGGGUGAUCUACCCAUGAGCAGUGUGAAGUUGCUGUAAGAGGCAAUGGAGGCGCGAACACACAUCUGUUGAAAAAGGUGGUGAUGACUUGUGGGUAGGGGAGAAAUUCCAAUCGAACUCGGAGAUAGCUGGUUCUCCUCGAAAUAGCUUUAGGGCUAGCCUUUCUUUAGUCUACUGCAGGUAGAGCACUGAAUUUCCUAGGGGGCGUCAAAGUUUGCCGAAGAAUAUCAAACUCCGAAUGGCAGUUAGAUGAUGAGAAGGAGUCAGACCAUAUGAGAUAAGUCGGAUGGUCAAAAGGGAAAGAGCCCAGAUCUGCAGCUAAGGUCCCAAAGGUAGUGUUAAGUGUGAAAGGAUGUGCGACUUCAUAGACAGCUAGGAUGUUGGCUCAGAAGCAGCCAUACAUUGAAAGAGUGCGUAACAGCUCACUAGUCGAGAGGUGGUGCGCCGAAAAUACACGGGGCUAAAACACUACACCGAAGCUCAGGGAUUCGAAAGAAUCGGUAGAGGAGCAUUGUUAGUUCGUAGAAGCCGUACUGAUAAAGAGCGGUGGAGGGCUAAGAAGAGAGAAUGCCGGAAUGAGUAGCGAGACUGAAGUGAGAAUCUUCAGGACCGAAUAUCCAAGGUUUCCAGGGUAAAGCUUGUCUUCCCUGGGUUAGUCGGGGCCUAAGGCGAGGUCGAAAGACGUAGUCGAUGGACAGCAGGUUGAUAUUCCUGCACUACUGUAUAUCAGAACUGUGAGGACGCGGUUUAAAGAGGUGAGUCAAGUGAAGGAACUUGAUUGGACAUGGAGGCCAGGUUAGGGGCAAAUACCUUAACGGAAUGGUAAGGACAUGAACGAUAGGGAACAAUAAAAGUACCGAAAGAGCUGAAUAAACUGCCAAGAAAAGUCACUAUUGCGUAUAUAGUACCCGUACCGCAAACCGACACAGGUGGAUGAGGAGAGAAUCCUAAGGUCGACGGGAGAAGUAUUGUUAAGGAACUCGGCAAAAAUGCCCCGUAACUUCGGGAGAAGGGGUGCUGAUAGUAAUCAGCCGCAGUGAAUAGGCCCAAGCAACUGUUUAGCAAAAACACAGGUCUAUGCGAAACCGAGAGGUGAAGUAUAUGGGCUGACGCCUGCCCGGUGCUGGAAGGUUAAGAGGAGAGGUUAGCGUAAGCGAAGCUUUGAAUCCAAGCCCCAGUAAACGGCGGCCGUAACUAUAACGGUCCUAAGGUAGCGAAAUUCCUUGUCGGGUAAGUUCCGACCCGCACGAAAGGCGUAAUGAUUUGGGCACUGUCUCGACAAUACACCCGGUGAAAUUGAAAUGCCAGUGAAGAUGCUGGCGACCUGCGCCAGGACGGAAAGACCCCAUGGAGCUUUACUCUAGCUUGGCACUGGAGAUUGAUAUGACAUGUACAGGAUAGGUGGGAGACUGAGAAAUAUGGACGUCAGUUUAUAUGGAGUCACUGUUGGGAUACCACCCUUGUUAUAUUGAUUUUCUAACCUACACUCAUGAAACUGGGUGGGGGACAAUGCCUGGUGGGGAGUUUGACUGGGGCGGUCGCCUCCGAAAGGGUAUCGGAGGCGCUCAAAGGUUCCCUCAGAAUGGAUGGAAACCAUUCGAAGAGUGCAAAGGCAGAAGGGAGCUUAACUGCGAGGGUGACGGCCCGAGCAGAUAGGAAACUAGGACUUAGUGAUCCGGUGGUAUAAAGUGGGAUUGCCAUCGCUCAACGGAUAAAAGCUACCCUGGGGAUAACAGGCUUAUCACUCCCAAGAGUUCACAUCGACGGAGUGGUUUGGCACCUCGAUGUCGGCUCAUCGCAUCCUGGGGCUGUAGCAGGUCCCAAGGGUUGGGCUGUUCGCCCAUUAAAGCGGUACGCGAGCUGGGUUCAGAACGUCGUGAGACAGUUCGGUCCCUAUCCGGCGUGGGCGUGGGAUAAUUGAAGGGAGCCGUCCCUAGUACGAGAGGACCGGGAUGUACGGACCACUGGUGUAUCGGUUGUACUGCCAAGUGCAUAGCCGAGUAGCCAAGUCCGGAAAGGAUAAACGCUGAAAGCAUCUAAGCGUGAAGCCCCCCCUAAGAUGAGUUAUCCAUUACGUAAGUAGAGAGAUUCCUUGUAGACUACGAGGUAGAUAGGGCAGAGGUGUAAGUACAGUGAUGUAUUUAGCUGACUGUCACUAAUAGAUCGAAAACUUGACCU